UUUACAUAAAGAAUCGUUGAAAUCAGAUGUUUUGAAGCGGAUAACGAGACUUCCGCCUCGAACUGCACCACCACCCUAAUGCCCCCACUACUGCAGUUGUGACUCACCACAAACCAACAAAAAGUUGCCCACACAGCCUUAUCAGUCGAAAACCAACUGCUGCCGCCAAUAGCAGCGGGUAUCAGUUGUGGCAACGGCGUUCCUGACUACAGUCACAGUGAAAACGAUCGAAACAUUCCCAGCGUGGAAGAGAAUUUCGGUGCUGUGAGUGAGAAUACUACAGCUCUCAUCGCGGCAUUCGGCGCGGUAUAACGGCCGGACGGGUAUAACGGCCAAUUAACGAUCGGGAGAUGUUGGCACGCAGCGACGUGAAGCGAACGCCAGAUAAAGAAUAAUGUACUUUUUAUUACGCCGUGGUGAACAUGCUUCCACAUAGUGUUACAGAUCAAAUUAAUAAUUGUGACAGUGCAGGGCCAUAGUAAUAAAACACACAGAGGAAAUAAAAAAAAGUUUUCGGAAAA